AUUGAACGCUGGCGGCAUGCUUUACACAUGCAAGUCGAGCGGCAGCGCGGGGCAACCUGGCGGCGAGCGGCGAACGGGUGAGGAAUACAUCGGAACGUACCCGAGAGUGGGGGAUAACGCCGCGAAAGCGGCGCUAAUACCGCAUAUUCUCUGAGGAGGAAAGUGGGGGACCGCAAGGCCUCACGCUCACGGAGCGGCCGAUGUCGGAUUAGCUAGUUGGUGGGGUAAAGGCUUACCAAGGCGACGAUCCGUAGCUGGUCUGAGAGGAUGAUCAGCCACACUGGGACUGAGACACGGCCCAGACUCCUACGGGAGGCAGCAGUGGGGAAUUUGGACAAUGGGGGCAACCCUGAUCCAGCCAUGCCGCGUGCGGGAAGAAGGCCU
rnacentral:rRNA from 1 species